CCUGAGGCAGGACAUUAGAGAAAGCAUCUUUAGUUCCAUUCCAUCCGUCUAUUCAGUAAACCAGACGUUGUUGGUCCGUCUGGAGAACGGGGACUUCGGCCGUGGAUUUGAUGACUUCUGUCCUCACCUCCACCACUACGUUACCUACGUAGACAACAUCCAGAACGCCAACAGGGUCCUGGCGCUCCAGGUCAAGAAGAACAAAGCCUUUAGAAGGUUUAAGAAGCUCCAGGAGUCCAGACCAGAGUUCCUCAACUGUAAACUAGAGGACCUCCUCCCACUGCCCAUACAGCGCAUCCA